UACGUAGGGCGCAAGCGUUGUCCGGAAUUAUUGGGCGUAAAGAGCUCGUAGGAGGCUUGUCACGUCGGGUGUGAAAGCCCGGGGCUUAACCCCGGGUCUGCAUUCGAUACGGGCUAGCUAGAGUGUGGUAGGGGAGAUCGGAAUUCCUGGUGUAGCGGUGAAAUGCGCAGAUAUCAGGAGGAACACCGGUGGCGAAGGCGGUUCUCUGGGCCUUACCUGACGCUGAGGAGCGAAAGCGUGGGGAGCAAACAGG
rnacentral:rRNA from 1 species